UGUGGAUUGGUUAUUGGAUGACCCUUUAGUCCUCAUAUGAUAUGAUGAUGUUACGGCAUGAUAUGGUAUGGAAGUCCAGGUUGUACCCAUUCUACGUCCCUGGCACUAUGUAAGAGAAAGUCCAGGUUGUACCCAUUCUACGUCCCUGGCACUAUGUAAGAGAAAGUCCAGGUUGUACCCAUUCUACGUCCCUGGCACAUUGGUAUGUUAUGAUAUGUUAUGUUAAGAGAAAGACCGGUUGUACCCAU
rnacentral:lncRNA from 1 species